rnacentral:rRNA from 1 species
UACGUAGGGGGCUAGCGUUGUCCGGAAUCAUUGGGCGUAAAGAGCGCGUAGGCGGCCAGAUAAGUCCGGUGUGAAAGUCACAGGCUCAACCUGUGAAUGCCGCUGGAAACUGUCUGGCUAGAGUCCGGGAGGGGCGAGUGGAAUUCCUGGUGUAGCGGUGAAAUGCGCAGAUAUCAGGAGGAACACCAAUGGCGAAGGCAGCUCGCUGGAACGGUACUGACGCUGAGGCGCGAAAAGCGUGGGGGAGCAAAACAGGG